GACGAACGCUGACGGCGUGCUUAACACAUGCAAGUCGAAGGGAGUGGCGAACGGGUGAGUAACACGUGAGUAACCUGCCCUUUUCUUUGGGCUAACCCUGGGAAACUGGGUCUAAUACUUGAUGAUUUGGGAUGGACGUGCGGCUUACCAGCUUGUUGGUGGGGUGAUGGCUUCCCAAGGCUUUGACUGGUAGCCGGCCUGAGUAGGUGGGCGGUAACACUCGGACAGAGGUACGGCCCAGAGUCCUACUGGAGGCAGCAGUGGGGGAUAAUGCACAAUGGACGAAAGUCGGAUGCAGCGACGUCGUGUGGGGAAGGAAGGUAUUCGGGUUGUAAACUCCUUUCGGUCGGGGAAUGGUCGUGGGUAGAGAAGCGCCGGCUAACUCCGUGCCAGCAGCCGCGGUAAUAC
rnacentral:rRNA from 1 species